rnacentral:rRNA from 1 species
UACGAAGGGGGCUAGCGUUGUUCGGAAUCACUGGGCGUAAAGGGCGCGUAGGCGGCUUUAUAAGUCGUGGGUGAAAGCCUGUGGCUCAACCACAGAAUUGCCUUCGAUACUGUAGAGCUUGAGACCGGAAGAGGUAAGUGGAACUGCGAGUGUAGAGGUGAAAUUCGUAGAUAUUCGCAAGAACACCAGUGGCGAAAGCGGCUUUCUGGUCCUUAACUGACGCUGAGGCGCGAAAGCAUGGGGAGCGAACGGG